UACGGAGGUGGCAAGCGUUGCUCGGAAUCACUGGGCGUAAAGGGCGCGUAGGCGGGGAGGUAAGUCGGGGUGUGAAAUCCCUCGGCCCAACUGAGGAACUGCGCCCGAGACUGCUUCUCUUGAGUCCCGGAGAGGAAGAUGGAAUUCCCGGUGUAGCGGUGAAAUGUGUAGAGAUCGGGAGGAACACCGGUGGCGAAGGCGGUCUUCUGGACGGUGACUGACGCUGAGGCGCGAAAGCGUGGGGAGCAAACAGG
rnacentral:rRNA from 1 species